rnacentral:rRNA from 1 species
GAUGAACGCUAGCGGCAGGCUUAAUACAUGCAAGUCGAGGGACAGCACAGGUAGCAAUACUGGGUGGUAACCGGCAAACGGGUGCGGAACACGUACACAACCUUCCUUUAAGUGGGGGAUAGCCCAGAGAAAUUUGGAUUAAUACCCCGUAAUAUAGUUGAAUGGCAUCAUUUGAUUAUUAUAGCUACGGCGCUUAAUGAUGGGUGUGCGGCUGAUUAGAUAGUUGGCGGGAUAACGGCCCACCAAGUCUACGAUCAGUAGCUGAUGUGAGAGCAUGAUCAGCCACACGGGCACUGAGACACGGGCCCGACUCCUACGGGAGGCAGCAGUAAGGAAUAUUGGUCAAUGGACGCAAGUCUGAACCAGCCAUGCCGCGUGAAGGAUUAAGGUCCUCUGGAUUGUAGACUUCUUUUAUUUGGGACGAAAAAGGGCCUUUCUAGGUCAACUGACGGUACCAGAUGAGUAAGCACCGGCUAACUCCGUGCCAGCCGCCGCAGUAACAC